rnacentral:lncRNA from 1 species
AUUUACUCUGGUAGCAAUUGUUGGAAUCGAUACUAUUUGUGCUGAUACCUAUUAUAUAACCCAAUAUCUAAAAUAGAACAAAAUAAUAUGAAAAAGAAAUAUUGGAGGAGUUAGAAAAUAACUAAACUAAUAUUUUAUUAAUAAAAGGUAAUUAAUUAUAUUAUGGACAACAUCCAUGCAGUUAUGUUUACUGUGGCUNUGAAAAUAAUAAUCCAAACUUAAUUAAAAUAUAGUUAGAUAUAAGUUUAAAUCUUUUAUUUGAUUAUGAUUAGAAUUUGUAGUUAUUCAAAGUAAAAGGUAAUUAAUUAUAUUAUGGACAACAUCCAUGCAGUUAUGUUUACUGUGGCUUAUUCUUCUAAUUAACCCAUGCCUAACUAUAUAUAUAGCUAUCAACUCAUAACAGAUGAUAAAUCUAACUUUUACUUUGAAUAACUACAAAUUCUAAUCAUAAUCAAAUAAAAGAUUUAAACUUAUAUCUAACUAUAUUUUAAUUAAGUUUGGAUUAUUAUUUUCAACAAAAAUAGAAAAAAAAAUAGUUUGAAAGUGGCACCACAUCAUCACUCACCCAAUCAGCGGAAUUAUGCUCCUCAGGUCACCCAUCUCAUCAUAACUACAAAAAAAAGAG